UUUAUUAAAAGAAGAAAAAUGAAAUAGAAGGUCUCAUUUCAUGAAGCUCCAGCUGGCUCCUCUCUUCAUCUCUUUCAUCAAUUUUAGUUGAACUCACUUGAAGUGUAGUAGAAAGAGGAUUUGGACUAUUGAAGGGAUGAUGGGAAAUUCUUAGAGGUAGAUUAUAGUUUCUGUCGAAGUUGAAUGUUGAAUUAUUUUAGCAUUCUGCCUUAUUCACAACAUGAUUAGAAGAGAAAUGCAUGUCGAUCCUCUAGAAUAAGCAAUAGGGGAAAGUGACGAUGACAAUUAUGAUGAAGAUGAAAGUGUAGGCCAUGAUCAUUAUACACAUGUUGAAAUAUCUAACGCUUGGACUUCUUGGAGAAACAACUUAGCUAGAGAGAUGUUUGACCAAUGGCGAGGGAGGAGGCAUACAUAAAUUGUAUAUUUUUUUUUACAUUAUUUGUGUUUGAUUUUGUUUGAAACAAUUUUAUCAUUAUGUGUUGGAUGUCUCAAAAUCAUAUGUAUUUUAUUUGAUUUGGUUUGUAAAUGUUUGGAAUUUGUAUGGAAUUUUAUAAUGUUGACAAUUUUUGCUAUCAAUUUUAUAUCUAACGCAAUGUAUCAAUUUUAUAUCAAUGUUCUUAGUUAAAUUUUAUAUCUAAAGCAAUGUAUCAUAUUAUUUUUAUGUUCUUAGUUAAAUUUUAUAUGUUAAUAUAUUUAUUGCUAUACUUUUGUUGUAAGUAGAUGUGAGAUAUAAAUGGACGCCCUGAAGCAAUCAACAUCAAUUCUAGGAAAAAAGCAUCAGUGGACUUCAAUUGAGGAUUCAAAAUUGUAUGAGUGUUUGUUGGAGCUGGUAUAUAGAGGAAAAUGGAAAGCAGAAAAUGGGACUUUCAAAACUAGCUAUUUACAACAAUUAGAAAAAUGGAUAUGUGAGAAAAUUCCUCACUGUGGAUUGAAAGCACAACCCCACAUUAAUUCUCGUAUCAAGAUACUACUGAAACAAUUUCAUGCAAUUUUUGAAAUGUUGGGACCUUUAGCAAGUGGUUUUGGUUAAUUCUUUCUCUAUGUUUUUAACUAUUACAGAGCCAUCCAAAUGCAAAGGGCUUAAGGAAUACAACAUUUCCUCGUUAUGAAGAAUUGGUUACUGUAUUUGGGAAGGAUUGUGCAAAUGGGCAAGGAGCUAUGGGAUUUUCUGAAACUGUUGACGAGAUUGAUAAAGAGGUACACAAUGAUGCAAAUUCUGAGUUUGAUCAUUUAUCUCCAAUAGAUGAUCUUAUUGGUAAUGCAACCAAAAGUCACACAAGCACGAUGACAACUUCAGCACAGUCAAGUAAGAAAAGUAGAAAGAGAUCUAGGAAUGAGGAUCCAUUGGUUGAUGUAUUUGUUGGGGUUUUAUGCCCUAAUUAAAACCCAAUUUCUUUGUAAUCUCAUUUAUUAUCAAUAAAAGAAUAUAAAUUAUUUUU